rnacentral:rRNA from 1 species
CACGUAGGGCGCGAGCGUUGUCCGGAAUUAUUGGGCGUAAAGAGCUCGUAGGCGGCCUGUUGCGUCCGCUGUGAAAGCCCGGGGCUUAACCCCGGGUCGGCAGUGGAUACGGGCAGGCUAGAGGUAGGUAGGGGAGAAUGGAAUUCCCGGUGUAGCGGUGAAAUGCGCAGAUAUCAGGAAGAACACCAACGGCGAAGGCAGCUCGCUGGGACGGUACUGACGCUGAGACGCGAAAGCGUGGGGAGCGAACAGG